UUUCGGACUUCUGGCCUCGAGAACUGUGGGAGCGUCAAUUUCUGUUGUUGCAUGCCCCCCAGUUUGUGGUCAGCUUGUACAGCCGCCAAGGAAACACACCCCUGGAGUCAUCCAUUAACUCAUGAAAUAGCAGCAGGGGUGGGGGGGGGGGGGAGGUAAGAUGCAGGGGGGUGGGAAGGGAGGAGUGAGAAAGAGGCCUCUGAGCAGCCCGAAAUUCUAUCCUCUGGCCAAGUUCAUGCCCUUCCACAGAAGGUACGGGUACCCCUCCGACGUGGUGUUCUGUGGCUAUUUACAGAUUCUACAGAUUCUGUCCACCCAGAGUCCCCUGGAGGUGCAGUCACCCCGAGGGGACAGGGAGCCGAAAUGCAAAACCAGGUAAAUGACGACUACUAUUAAACGAAAGCAAUACAUCAAAGCCAUGCUUUCUUCCUCGGAUGCCGGGGCCGGGGCUGGCUGCCCUGGAGACCCCCUCAUCCCCUCGAACCUUACACACCGUGCGGACCUGCCACGGCGAUGGGAGUCCCUGACCCACAGUGAUUCAGCAGCAGAAGCUCAGGACGGCGGAGAAGCUGAUAUGGAAUGCACGGUGCAGAAGGAGCUCGCCAAAGUGUGCAGGACACACGGACACAGGAAUGAAAGGAAGCAGGGAUACAUCAGCGAAUGGAUGAACGUUCAAGUUUUGGAGAAACGUCGGAAUUCUUCACCAGGCUCCUCCUCCUCUCUCUGCUGACUCUGCCUCAAGCUUGACUUCUCUCUUACAAAAUUCCUGGGACCGUUUAACCAUGGAAAUAGCCAUGACAGCACUAACUCCCUGGAGGGCAGAUACCUGUGAUACAGCGGAUCAGGAAAAAAAUGCCAAAAAUGCUG